UAUACGGUGAAACUGCGAAUGGCUCAUUAAAUCAGUUUUCGUUUAUUUGAUAGUACCUUACUACUUGGAUAACCGUGGUAAUUUUAGAGUUAAUACAUGCUGAAAACCUCGACUUCGGAAGGGGUGUAUUUAUUAGAUAAAAAACCAAUGCCCUCCGGGGCUUUUUGGUGAUUCAUAAUAACUUAACGAAUCGCAUGGCCUUGCGCCGGCGAUGGUUCAUUCAAAUUUCUGCCCUAUCAACUUUCGAUUGUUGGGUAGUGGCCAACAAUGGUGUUUACGGGUAACGGGGAAUUAGGGUUCUAUUCCGGAGAGGGAGCCUGAGAAACGGCUACCACAUCCAAGGAAGGCAGCAGGCGCGCAAAUUAUCCAAUCCCGACACGGGGAGAUAGUGACAAUAAAUACUGAUCUGGGGCAUUUUUAUGUCUCAGAAUUGGAAUGAGUACAAUUUAAAUCCCUUAACGCGGAACAAUUGGAGGGCAAGUCUGGUGCCAGCAGCCGCGGUAAUUCCAGCUCCAAUAGCGUAUAUUAAAUUUGUUGCAGUUAAAAAGCUCGUCGUUGAAACUUGGAUUUGGUCGGUCGGUCCGCCUCACCGCGUGCACUGAUUCGACCGGAUCUUUCCUUCUGGGGAAGCGCAUGCCCUUCAUUGGGCGUUUUCGGGGAACCAGGACUUUUACUUUGAAAAAAUUAGAGUGUUCAAAGCAGGCCUAUGCUCGAAUACAUUAGCAUGGAAUAAUAGAAUAGGACGUGUGGUUCUAUUUUGUUGGUUUCUAGGACCGCCGUAAUGAUUAAUAGGGAUAGUCGGGGGCAUCAGUAUUCCGUUGUCAGAGGUGAAAUUCUUGGAUUUACGGAAGACUAACUACUGCGAAAGCAUUUGCCAAGGAUGUUUUCAUUAAUCAGUGAACGAAAGUUAGGGGAUCGAAGACGAUCAGAUACCGUCGUAGUCUUAACCAUAAACUAUGCCGACUACGGAUCGGACGGUGUUAUUAUUUU
rnacentral:rRNA from 1 species